AUAUCAGUAAGCGGAGGAAAAGAAACUAACAAGGAUUGCCUCAGUAGCGGCGAGCGAACUGGCAAAAGCUCAAAAUGUAAAUCUGUGGCGGUAACGUCAUAGAAUUGUAGUCUAAAGAAUCAGGCAGAAGGCAUGACAAUCGCAGAAGUCUCUGGAAAGAGAAAGCAAAGAGGGUGAUACUCCCGUAUUCGGCGAAAUGUCGGCUGUAUGCAUGGUUUCGAAGAGUCGGGUUGCUUGGGACUGCAGCUCUAAAUGGGAGAUAAACUUCUUCUAAAGCUAAAUAUUUAUGGGAGACCGAUAGCGCACAAGUA
rnacentral:rRNA from 1 species